rnacentral:antisense_RNA from 1 species
CUUGAGCGAACCGAGCCACAAGGGCCGUUCGGCGUCGCGUCCCUGGCCGUACGUCGCCAGCAGCGCCUGCGCCUC